rnacentral:rRNA from 1 species
UACGGAGGGUGCGAGCGUUGUUCGGAAUCACUGGGCGUAAAGGGCGCGUAGGCGGCAAAUUAAGUCAGCUGUGAAAUCUCCGAGCUUAACUCGGAACUGUCAGCUGAUACUGAUCUGCUAGAGUGCGGAAGGGGCAAUCGGAAUUCUUGGUGUAGCGGUGAAAUGCGUAGAUAUCAAGAGGAACACCUGAGGUGAAGACGGGUUGCUGGGCCGACACUGACGCUGAGUGCGCGAAAGCCAGGGGAGCAAACGGG